rnacentral:rRNA from 1 species
AUUGAACGCUGGCGGCAGGCCUAACACAUGCAAGUCGAGCGGAUGACGGGAGCUUGCUCCUUGAUUCAGCGGCGGACGGGUGAGUAAUGCCUAGGAAUCUGCCUGGUAGUGGGGGACAACGUUUCGAAAGGAACGCUAAUACCGCAUACGUCCUACGGGAGAAAGCAGGGGACCUUCGGGCCUUGCGCUAUCAGAUGAGCCUAGGUCGGAUUAGCUAGUUGGUGGGGUAAUGGCUCACCAAGGCGACGAUCCGUAACUGGUCUGAGAGGAUGAUCAGUCACAAUGGAACUGAGACACGGUCCAGACUCCUACGGGAGGCAGCAGAGGGGAAUAUUGGACAAUGGGCGAAAGCCUGAUCCAGCCAUGCCGCGUGUGUGAAGAAGGUCUUCGGAUUGUAAAGCACUUUAAGUUGGGAGGAAGGGCAGUAAGUUAAUACCUUGCUGUUUUGACGUUACCGACAGAAUAAGCACCGGCUAACUCUGUGCCAGCCGCCGCCGUAA